rnacentral:lncRNA from 1 species
UGCUUUGGAGUAUUUCUAUCAUCAUUCAGACCCAGUGGGAAUAGUCCUGGGUGGGGCCAGUGGUUGAGAAUGAUGGUAUCCUUUUUCUUUAAUUAGAUAUUUUCUUUAUUUACAUUUCAAAUGCUAUCCCAAAAGUUUUCUCUAACCUACCCCCGCCCUGCUUCCCUAUCCACUCACUCCCACUUCUUGGCCCUGGCGUUCCCCUAUACUGGGGCAUAUAAAGUUUGCAAGACCAAGGGGCCUCUCUUCCCAAUGAUGGCAACUGGGCCAAGUAAUGAUGGUAUCUUAACCAAAUAAAAUCUCACCGCUGCAAAUAUUCUUUAUUACUCCACCUUAAAAGCUAUGUGAAGAAAUCCUAUUGUUUUACACUGAAGGGGAAUUUUCACUUAUUCUUUAAUAAAGGUGUCAUAGCCACUCAUUUCUUCAAUGAUGAACUUAUGUAUUUCCCUUCUGGAAAGCUCUUCUUUUAUGAAGCAGUUAUUAUCUUUCUCCCCUGCAAGGAGGGGAGAACUUGGUCCGACUUCUCUUUCUGUCCUAUAGUUGGGGCCAGUACUUGCCUUAAACAUGAGAAUGUGGCCUGAUGGUGGGACUUGUCCGGGAAGCUUUAGUUCUCUCUUGAGAACACAUGCAGUGAAGCUAGGAUAGUUAUGUAAGUGUUUCAUCCUGUACUCAUUUGUUCUUUCUCAAGAAGUAAAAGCUAUGUAAAGGAUGUUCAGUGUAAAGACACUUGCCUAGCAUGCACAAGGCCUGGGGUUUGAUCCCCGGCUUCAUAGUACCAUGAAACAAGAACAAAGAGAAAGGAAAAGGAUUUAAGUAAUAAGGGCUUUAGGUUUUAGGUUUUUGUUUUUUUUGUUUGUUUCAUGACACUUUUACAAGACAUGUCCUUUCACAUUUUGUCCUUUACCUGGUUUUGUUUGCUGCUUCUUUAUUUAAAAUGUUAACAAAAAUAAUUCAAGAAGCUUUUAAUACUAUUGCUAUUCCUCCCUCCCCCAAACCUAGUCAGGGAGGGAGAUAGCUUGGUGAUGAGCCCUUCCUCUUUCUCCCUCAACCUUUGUUAAUAUCACCUUCAGCUGGGUCUCUUAACACUGUGACAAAACAGAAGCAGCCCCUUCUAUAGGAGACUGAUGUAAAAGACCUUGUUAUAACAGAACACAGUAAACUUCUUCACUUCCUAAACUUUGCUUCUAAUAAAUGGUACAACAUUGUUUGCUUAUUUGUUUUAGGGUAACAUAGACUUCUUUGCCCAUUUAUAAUCACCAUAGUGUUUCCCUAAAGACAGAAAAGGUUUCCACCUUAUUAAGUCUGAAGUUAUUGGGCUGCUAUGUUGUUCUCAGUGUGCGUGCUUCCUUGUGUUGGUUUGGGCAGGUAUCUUGAAUGCUCUUUUGAUAAUCUGAGUAGUCAGAUUCACCACCUUUACAAGCCAGUAUGUCAACCCUGUGAGGACUUCUUUGUAUUUUGUGAAGAGGUCCAGUUGAUUGGCAGCUGGUGGCUGAGAGUUAUAGUACUAGAUGAAAGAUGCUGUAAUCUCAGGGCUAGUGAGCAUGAAAGCUGGACCCAUCCAUCCCCGAUAGAACCAAGAAGUCCAGAGGACAGCAUGUGCCACCAAGAUGUGUCUUGGCUGAUGUUUAAAUUGCAUCAAAUUAAAGGGUAUUUCUCAUUCUCCAUUGACAUUGUCACCAAAGGGCAGAAUUAGUGUCAUUUUUAACAGCUUUGAGCUUCUGGAACUGCCACUUUCUCUGAGGGUCACUAGGGAUAGUAGCUCAGUGAGUCUUUCUUGUUCCAAAAUCGCCUGUCUGGAGGACUUCUUAGAAGAGGAAUUAUUCCACAGCCAGUGGACAGGGUCUCUUUAUGUAUUCCUGGAGCUCUCUGUGU